rnacentral:rRNA from 1 species
AUUGAACGCUGGCGGCACGCCUAACACAUGCAAGUCGAGCGGCAGCGAGACUAGUAGCAAUACUAGUUGUCGGCGAGCGGCGGACGGGUGAGGAACACGUAGGAGCCUGCCUAAGAGAGGGGGAUAACUAAUGGAAACGUUAGCUAAUACCGCAUAAUCUCGAGAGAGCAAAGCUGCAGCAAUGUAGCGCUAUUAGAGGGGCCUGCGUCCGAUUAGCUAGUUGGUGAGGUAAUGGCUCACCAAGGCGAUGAUCGGUAACUGGUCUGAGAGGACGACCAGUCACACUGGGACUGAGAAACGGCCCAGACUCCUACGGGAGGCAGCAGUGGGGAAUCUUGGACAAUGGGGGCAACCCUGAUCCAGCGAUGCCGCGUGAGUGAAGAAGGCCUUCGGGUCGUAAAGCUCUUUAGGCUGGGAAGAAGGGUGGUUGAGGAAAUGCGAUCAUUUUGACUGUACCAGCAGAAUAAGCACCGGCAAACUCUGUGCCAGCCGCCGCAGUAA